rnacentral:rRNA from 1 species
UACGUAGGGUGCGAGCGUUAAUCGGAAUUACUGGGCGUAAAGCGUGCGUAGGCGGUUCGUUAAGUUCGUUGUGAAAGCCCCGGGCUCAACCUGGGAACUGCAAUGGAAACUGGCGGGCUUGAGUGUGGCAGAGGGGGUGGAAUUCCGCGUGUAGCAGUGAAAUGCGUAGAGAUGCGGAGGAACACCGAUGGCGAAGGCAGCCCCCUGGCCAACACUGACGCUCAGGCACGAAAGCGUGGGGGAGCAAACAGG